UAAUGUUAAGUUUGAUGGCUUUGUAACAGUAGCAAUGGAAAAUUACUGAGGUGCAUGAUACAUAGAGGAAAAAAAAUAGAGUACAGCUAGAGAACAUACUGAGAAUUCUUGUACAAGAUAAAUUGUUAUAUUGACGUGGAUUUAGGUCCUUAUGACCUUAGUACAAAAUGAGUGUAAGAAAAACAGGACAGAAAAACAGGACAUAGGGAUAAGGAUAUCUGGGAAUGGCAGGGGUCCAGGAUGGGCUGCAGUUAAACUAACUGAUAAGUAGAAGAACAAGAGGAUUAUUAUGUCUGUGGUGUUAACGAACCAAUUAAGCUGGCAUAACCAUCUACUGCGUGUGCUUCAAAGGCUGCCAGAAGUGAUGAAGAUUGUUGGAAGAAGUAAACGACCCUCAGAGACCACCACCACAAUUCUGUACGCAUGGGGGAAACUUUCUG